rnacentral:rRNA from 1 species
GGAAACCUCACCCGGCCCGGACACCGUUAGGAUUGACAGAUUGAGAGCUCUUUCUUGAUUCGGUGGGUGGUGGUGCAUGGCCGUUCUUAGUUGGUGGAGCGAUUUGUCUGGUUAAUUCCGAUAACGAACGAGACUCUAGCCUACUAAAUAGUUCGAGGAUAUACUAUUUAACCUCGCAAACUUCUUAGAGGGACAGGUGGCGUUUAGCCACACGAGAUUGA